rnacentral:rRNA from 1 species
UACAGAGGGUGCAAGCGUUAAUCGGAAUUACUGGGCGUAAAGCGUGCGUAGACGGUCAUGUAAGUCGGGUGUGAAAGCCCCGGGCUCAACCUGGGAAUUGCAUUCGAGACUGCAUGGCUAGGAUGCGGAAGAGGGAAGCGGAAUUUCCGGUGUAGCGGUGAAAUGCGUAGAGAUCGGGAGGAACACCCGUGGCGAAGGCGGCCAUCUGGGACAACACUGACGCUGAAGCACGAAAGCGUGGGGAGCAAACAGG